GGUCUUCUCCUACUUCCUUGACUUCACGCGCCCCACACCACCCAGCUACAGUGCCGCCCCUCCUCCCAUCUUCACCUUCACCUUCAUCUUCAUCGCCUCCGCCCCCACUUAUCUACAAGAAUAGUGCCUCUGUCGCCCCUCCUCCGUCGGCCUCCCGUCUCCAACGUGGAUUCCCGCAGCCACUCGCAUCCGCGUUCAGUCCCAACCCAGAUCCAGCCAAAGUCGCUGCUCCCGCAGCCGCUUGCCUACACGUCCCGUCCCAAUAUCCUGCAGCCGCACGCCGCCCAGUCCGACCCAGAUCCGGGUGUCCCACCACAGACCAGUACCGGCCUGUUGUCCACCACUCCGAUCUGUUUUCGAUCGACUGCCCAGCUGUCGUCUUCCACCUAUCUGAGUAACGGUAAAAGUUAGAGGAGGAAGAUCUCGAUGUUAAAUUGAACGAAAUCGUGCACAAUCACACAGACAGGGAAGAAGAGAUUAAAUCAUCAAGCACCGAAGCAGAGACUGUGAUGAAUAAUGGAGAAUGUGAUGUAGUCCGGAGAAAGAAAGGUAAAAAAUUGAAGGAGACCAGCAAAAAGAGGGGUGGGGAUACUUAGUUCGGAGGUAAGACAAAACAUACUAAAAUUGACCCUAAACGAAAUUUGGGUUCAUGUAAGGAACCUACCAAGAAGGUAAGAACUCGAGGAAUAUUUGUGUUGGAUAGUAAUAUUUACAAAUUAGAUUCACUUAGCUAAUUCUACUUUUAUGUUUCGGGAAAAUUAAAGGAGAGGGUCUCAAGAUAGUUGAGGAAGCGUGCAUGUUGUUAGUGAGAUAAUUAUUGAGAUAUACAUGUACUAGAUUUCUAUUUAUGAUAUAUAUAUAUAUAUAUAUAUUAUAUUAGUACAACAUGUG